AAGUUUGUCCCUUGCGGUGAUCCGUCCUGGUGUUUGCCUGCAGCAAGAUGGCGGCGGUCUCAAUGUCAGUGGCGCUGAGGCAAGCGUUGUGGGGGAGAAGGGCAGUGGCUGUAGCUGCCGUUUCUGUUUCCAGGGUUCCAACCAGGUCAUUGAGCACUUCCACAUGGAGGCUGGCACAGGACCAAACUCGAGACACGCAACUCAUAACAGUUGAUGAAAAAUUGGAUAUCACUACUUUAACUGGUGUUCCAGAAGAGCAUAUCAAAACUAGAAAAGUCAGGAUCUUUGUUCCUGCUCGCAAUAACAUGCAGGCUGGAGUAAACAACACGAAGAAAUGGAAGAUGGAGUUUGAUACCAGGGAGCGAUGGGAAAAUCCUUUGAUGGGUUGGGCAUCAACGGCUGAUCCCUUGUCCAACAUGGUUUUAACCUUUAGUACUAAAGAAGACGCAGUUGCCUUUGCAGAAAAAAAUGUUAUUCAAGAAGUCACAUAUUAAACAACACGGAAUGGAGAAUUUUACAUUAUACAUAACCACUGGUAAUUGAACAAAGAAUACUGAGCAAGAAGAAAUUGAAUCAUGGUCACACCCUUAAUUUGAGAUAAAGUAAAUCAUCUUCAGGCAAUGUUUUGGACCCUCUUGUCACACAGGAUUAUAAGGGAACAAAUUACUAAGAUGGAGCUAUGACGUUGAAGAGAGGAAGGUUCCGAAACCCAAGUCCAAGUCUUAUGGCGCAAACUUUUCUUGGAACAAAAGAACAAGAGUAUCCACAAAAUAGGUUGGCACUGACUAUAUCUCUGUGCUUGACUGGGAAUAAAGUCAGCUGUGCAGUAUUUAUAGUCCAUGUAUAAUACAUCUCUUAAUCUCCUAAUAAAUUUGACCUUUAAACUGCA